rnacentral:lncRNA from 1 species
GUGUUUACCAUCAUGGCUACUGUCGCCGGCGCAAAACGCUCAUGUGAUGGCCUGCAUCGCAAUGUUUUUCUGCUUGACGGCUCUUGUUGUUUUGUGCCGUUGCGAGUGGCGUUCGUUCAACCGCGGCCUGUGCAUAUUGUGCGUGCGUGCUCUUCCCAGCCAAGUCGUGAAACGUGUGUGCUUUCGUGUUCUCUGUAGCCAAUGGUGUGCUGCUGGCGCAGGCAGCUACCGAGUGCCUUGAAAUGUGCGAGCGCGCUUCGGUUCGAGCGAAACAAAGUCAGCGAUUGAUUUCAGCGCAGCAAGAUCUCAUUUCGUCUGAAUACUUCCCAUCAUAAAGCGUUCCCGUGAUGGUACUAUAAACCGACCUGCUUGCCGACAUGAUGCAAAGGAAUGGUUACGAGUGGCUACGUAGAGGUCACUGUCCAAAGGAACAUGCAGAACACUGUUUUUUCUAUACAUUGGCUACCCCUCUUUACUGAAGGACAACAUUUUUUGUACUUUUGGAAACGCUUCUCAGUGCUUGUGCACCUUUGGGUUAUUCUUGUAUAACAGAAGCACGAAAAGGACAAGGACAAGAAAGUACACAACACAAGCACUUACUCACAACUGGAAGCUUCCAGCUUAUGAGGUUCACUGCAUUAUGUCUACUGCCGCUGUUGCAGUGUGAAAUGCAGUCUUCUGGCGUGCACUCAUCAGAAUGUUCAUUUCAUUGAGUGGACUAUCCAGCAGUCCUUUUGGCUACAGAGACGGGACAUGUUCUUUUGAUAUAUGAUGCGUUGACAGAAGAGUCAGUUUAUAGUGCCAUUUUUUCAAAUAUUUUGACAUUUUGCUGUCAGCUUUUACUAGUAGAAAGAACAAAUUUCUCUAGAAUGUGAUAAUUUAAUUUGACACAUCUCGUAAUAUGUUCUGUCAGUGCUUGUUUGUUGAUGCUUUGCUGUAUUUUGUAAUCAUUUUGUUGCCGCAACUUUGUUGAACUGAACACUAAAGAGCCGUUUUGAAGUCAUUUGUUAUUGUGGAAUUCACAGUAGCAGUAAAUAGGAUGACAAAGAUACUGGGGAAAAAAAAAAGCGGAACGGGCAUAACAUUUAUGACUGCAUUGGUGGCUUAACUUUCCUACAGCGUAUAUGUGUAGGGGUAUUAUCUGUGCAUUGCAUAAGCAAGUGAAUUGUAUACGCAGAUGAAUUCUCUACUUCACCAUUAGUAAUGCAAACUUGCAGAAGUAAACUGACCAUUGACUGAUGUAUUGAAAUCGCUUCUAGGCAGCGAUUUCAAUAGAUAAUUUCUAUAUUGAAUUGCGGUUCGAAUAAAUCGCUUAUAUAGAAGCAGUUUUAAUAGAAGCAAACAUCCAAUAAUGCCGGCACAGCGACAAUGCAAUUAGAGCGAUAGCUUGUGACAAAGUAUGAAAACAAGCAACAGCAGCAGCCAGUAACAGUUAACUGAUGCUGUUGGUUGUAACUUACCCACUAGGCAGCACUUGAAUAAAUGUUCUUAUUAUUGUAAUUCAUAAUGGUGUUGGCAAGGUUCACUGCUUAUCACUUUGAUAAUGAGUCCAGGAUGUAGUGGCACACAAAUUGGACUGAGCCGGAGUCAGUAGCUUCCAAAAGCGACCUUUUUCACAGUUGUAUCAUUUUCUGGUGGAAACAGUGCUGUGGGUAACUCUCACUAUGUAAAACUGUACUGCAGAGACAAGGGGCGGACCAAGCUGCAUCAAGGCUCAUUCGAGUUCAGCGGAGCUGGCGACAGAUGGAAGUCAAGGCAUCCCUGCCAGGGAACAAGCCGCAGCUGGCGGAAGGGGAAGACUUUCGAAGAGGGAAAUUUUGCACUGUCCCUUCUGCCCGUACAUUUCAUACUACAUGGGCCCUCUCAAUGUACACCUACGCAAGCACAGCGGUGAAAAGCCCUUCAAGUGCAGCCUCUGCAAUGCGGCGUUUCCUUAUUCGGCGACCUACAAGCGUCACAUGUCCCUCCACACUGGUGAAAAGCCGUUCAAGUGUGACCUGUGUCCCUUUGUGACGGCACACAGCGAGUCCUUGGUCUACCACCGGACCACCCACGCGAGUCGCGAAGCUUUAACGUGCAAGAUUUGCUCUUCCGCCUGUGCAAAUAAGGGCUCGUUGGUGGCACACAUGCGUGCUCAUGCGAGGGACAAAGAACGCGCUACUGCUCAACCACCUAAUCCGACCCAGCCACCCAGUUACGAACAGCAGGAUUAAUCGAAAAAGAGUGAGCCCUCUUGCAGCACAUUGAGUCAGGCUCUUUUGCCACUUUGUACGUUAGAGCUGCAUUACGUACAUUGUUUGUUAGUGCAUUAACUUGCUUCUUUUUUAUGCUCUCGUUGUACGGCUUUCGAAUUAAAUCUGGUAAUCUUGCAAAGCCAUUGUUCAACAGUGCUGCCAGAAUUAUUUCACGUACAGCCUCUUGAUUGACAUCAAAUACAAACUUUAGUACUAGCUACGGAGCACUUUUAAAAAUGUAGCAGUACAAAACAUUAUAAUUUGAACUACUUUUUCCAACCCAUGAGCAUGCAAAAUAGACAAUGGCCAAGCGCAGUAGUGGGGGAGGGGGUUGCCUUGCAGUUGUUCAUACACACGUUUUUUAAUUUAUGGAGAUUACAUAAAAAGUAUGUGAGCAGGA